CAAAGGAAAGAAAAACUCGCUGUAUACAGAAAUAUUUAUAUCAUCAAAAUUAUAUUCUAAAUCAUACAAAACUUAACGUCUAUUAUAUAAAUCUAUUUCUUACACGUGUAAACAUAUAUAAAAAGAGAGGAAAUUACUCGUACGUUAACUUAAAGCAAGAAGUGUGGUGGUACUGGUUGGCUGCAUGCAAAAAUCAUCAAUCAUCUUCAUCAUUCAUUAUAUUGUCACUAUCAGGCAGAGGUGGUUGUAGAUAUCAAAGGAACAAUCAUCAAUCAUCUUCAUCAUUCAUUCAUUAUAUUGUCACUAUCAGGCAGAGGUGGUUGUAGAUAUCAAAGGAACAAUCAUCAAUCAUCUUCAUCAUUCAUUCAUUAUAUUGUCACUAUCAGGCAGAGGUGGUUUUAUAUAUCAAAGGAACAAUCAUCAAUCAUCUUCAUCAUUCAUUCAUUAUAUUGUCACUAUCAGGCAGAGGUGGUUUUAUAUAUCAAAGGAACAAUCAUCAAUCAUCUUCAUCAUUCAUUCAUUAUAUUGUCACUAUCAGGCAGAGGUGGUUUUAUAUAUCAAAGGAACAAUCAUCAAUCAUCUUCAUCAUUCAUUAUAUUGUCACUAUCAGGCAGAGGUGGUUGUAGAUAUCAAAGGAACAAUCAUCAAUCAUCUUCAUCAUUCAUUCAUUAUAUUGUCACUAUCCGGCAGAGGUGGUUUUAUAUAUCAAAGGAACAAUCAUCAAUCAUCUUCAUCAUUCAUUCAUUAUAUUGUCACUAUCAGGCAGAGGUGGUUGUAGAUAUCAAAGGAACAAUCAUCAAUCAUCUUCAUCAUUCAUCAGUCAUUCAUUAUGUUGUUGCUAUCAGGCAGAUGUGGUUUUAUAUAUCAAAGGAACAAUCAUCAAUCAUCUUCAUCAUUCAUCAGUCAUUCAUUAUACCGUCACUAUCAGGCAGAGGUGGUUGUAGAUAUCAAAGGAACAAUCAUCAAUCAUCUUCAUCAUUCAUCAGUCAUUCAUUAUAUCGUUGCUAUCAGGCAGAGGUGGUUUUAUAUAUCAAAGAAAACAUCAACUUCAUCAAUGACAUAAAAAGAAAAAAUAAUUGAUGAGAAAAGAAUAUAUUAAAAAAAAACAGAAAAUGAAAAAAGUAAGUUCGAUGAAAAACAAAAAAACAAAAAAACAAAA